UUCUGUGAUGAAAACUGCUGCAUAGGAAGAUCCGUCUGAUGCGAUAACUGACGCUUUUAAGCUGUUCUGAGA